CCAAUUUCUCUCUCCCCGACUCCACUCUUCCCCCUCACUUUCUCCCUCCCAUUUUCGUCCAGCCGGCUAGCAUCAGUGUCGGUGAGGUACCGCCGGCCUUCCCCCAUGCCAGAACAAUCACCAGGCGGUGGCAGCAGCGAGCAGGAGACAGUAGAAACAGAGAGAAGGAGAGAGGAAAGAGAGGAGAGAGGGCGAGCGUGCGCGACCGGGGGCCCGACUUUGCGGCGUCACCCCGACCGACUCUGACGGCCAUUCUUGGUGAUUUCAAGUGCAACGGACUCCCAAGAUGAUGAACUUUCAGAUGAGACUAGUGGCACCCUGUUUGGUGGCCGGAGGAAGGAGAAUCGGCAAGAGAAAGUUGGAAGAAAAUCAUAUGGGUUUCUCAGUUCCGAUCACUUUUCCGGCGAUCCGACCGUCGGAUCGGAAAUCCGAGGCCACCGAUGGACUCAGGACGACGAGAUCUUCGAGAUAGGACCGGUCCCGCUCCGAUCGGACACCAUUUGAAAAAGGCGAUAAUCGGACGGUCCAAAUCGUUUGGUGCAAUCGGAUCGAUGAUAGCUCACCGGCGUAGGGAUCGCAUUUUCAGCCAGAUCCGGCUGCCUGACGGCCCGUCUCAGAACGUGGUCGAUAUUAUAGUCAAUCCUAGCAUUUUCAGACAUUCUGGACACGUUCCAGGUGUCAGAAUUGACAUAGGCUACAGGAGACCUUCUUCGAAAUAACAUGUUCCUUUCCUCACAGGUUAUGGAGAAAAAUUACUUAACGGUAUUAUUAUUGUCUAAAUUUAUAAUUUAGAACUCCGCAUAUACUAGUAGUAGCAUUAAUCCUGUCAGGGACUGCAUGAAUUUAAGUUUUUGUGUUAAUAAAUGAAAAUUUUUUUAUGAGUUUUAAAUAGUUUGUAAAUGAUGUAACAGGGUUGAGCUGGGCUCCCCUAAUUUUAGUUUCUUAUAAUUUCUGGGCUAAGUUGGUCCGAAAUAAAAUUAUAACAGUUUAAUUUAAA